rnacentral:tRNA from 1 species
GGGAAUGUGGCUUAGUGGUAGAGUGCUUGCCUAGCAUGCAUGAAGCCCUGGGUUCGAUUUCCUCAAUAUCA